rnacentral:lncRNA from 1 species
GGCUUCACGUGUAACUUGAGCCACUGUUUGUGUACUUCAUUAUUCAUUUUAACACAAAGAAGACUCAAGCUCAAACGUCUGUUCCAACACAACAUUAGCUUCAUUCAGGAUUCUUCGGUUUUCAAGAUUGGGCCUUCUUGUCCUCUUCAGAGAAUCAUUGGAAUUUUUUGUGUCUGGGCAGUAGAAGUCCCCGGAGAGGUUAGCGAUUCAGUUAGUGUACCUGGCAGAGUGUUCCCUCCCUGUCACCUGAUCCAAGAUGAAAGUUGUCUCCUUCCUUCUGAUGAGUGUUUCCAUGGCUCCAGUAGCAGAGCCCUGUGAGAAAAGAAAUGUCCAGACAGGUGCCUCACAUCUGCCGGAUGAGCUGGGAUGACAUGAGCCUUCCAGGGCCCCGAGACAAGUGAGCAGACAAAUGCUUCUCGAGGCUCUACAAGAGGAAUGAAACAGCACUGCGCAUGCUGCUUCAUCCAUCUGUCAGUCAACCUUGAUGGCAAAUUUUAAUCAGCUAUUGAAUUUACCUGUGUCAUGCCUGUUCCAUAAAAUGUCAGCACAUCCAUUACAAAAAAAAAAGAUUCGUC